AUUGAACGCUGGCGGCAGGCCUAACACAUGCAAGUCGAACGGUAGCAGGAAGCAGCUUGCUGCUUUGCUGACGAGUGGCGGACGGGUGAGUAAUGUCUGGGAAACUGCCCGAUGGAGGGGGAUAACUACUGGAAACGGUAGCUAAUACCGCAUAACGUCGCAAGACCAAAGAGGGGGACCUUAGGGCCUCUUGCCAUCGGAUGUGCCCAGAUGGGAUUAGCUAGUAGGUGGGGUAACGGCUCACCUAGGCGACGAUCCCUAGCUGGUCUGAGAGGAUGACCAGCCACACUGGAACUGAGACACGGUCCAGACUCCUACGGGAGGCAGCAGUGGGGAAUAUUGCACAAUGGGCGCAAGCCUGAUGCAGCCAUGCCGCGUGUAUGAAGAAGGCCUUCGGGUUGUAAAGUACUUUCAGCGGGGAGGAAGGGAGUAAAGUUAAUACCUUUGCUCAUUGACGUUACCCGCAGAAGAAGCACCGGCUAACUCCGUG
rnacentral:rRNA from 1 species